AGAGUUUGAUCAUGGCUCAGGACGAACGCUGGCGGCGUGCCUAAUACAUGCAAGUCGAACGCUUCUUUUUCCACCGGAGCUUGCUCCACCGGAAAAAGAGGAGUGGCGAACGGGUGAGUAACACGUGGGUAACCUGCCCAUCAGAAGGGGAUAACACUUGGAAACAGGUGCUAAUACCGUAUAACAAUCGAAACCGCAUGGUUUUGAUUUGAAAGGCGCUUUCGGGUGUCGCUGAUGGAUGGACCCGCGGUGCAUUAGCUAGUUGGUGAGGUAACGGCUCACCAAGGCGACGAUGCAUAGCCGACCUGAGAGGGUGAUCGGCCACAUUGGGACUGAGACACGGCCCAAACUCCUACGGGAGGCAGCAGUAGGGAAUCUUCGGCAAUGGACGAAAGUCUGACCGAGCAACGCCGCGUGAGUGAAGAAGGUUUUCGGAUCGUAAAACUCUGUUGUUAGAGAAGAACAAGGAUGAGAGUAACUGUUCAUCCCUUGACGGUAUCUAACCAGAAAGCCACGGCUAACUACGUGCCAGCAGCCGCGGUAAUACGUAGGUGGCAAGCGUUGUCCGGAUUUAUUGGGCGUAAAGCGAGCGCAGGCGGUUUCUUAAGUCUGAUGUGAAAGCCCCCGGCUCAACCGGGGAGGGUCAUUGGAAACUGGGAGACUUGAGUGCAGAAGAGGAGAGUGGAAUUCCAUGUGUAGCGGUGAAAUGCGUAGAUAUAUGGAGGAACACCAGUGGCGAAGGCGGCUCUCUGGUCUGUAACUGACGCUGAGGCUCGAAAGCGUGGGGAGCAAACAGGAUUAGAUACCCUGGUAGUCCACGCCGUAAACGAUGAGUGCUAAGUGUUGGAGGGUUUCCGCCCUUCAGUGCUGCAGCUAACGCAUUAAGCACUCCGCCUGGGGAGUACGACCGCAAGGUUGAAACUCAAAGGAAUUGACGGGGGCCCGCACAAGCGGUGGAGCAUGUGGUUUAAUUCGAAGCAACGCGAAGAACCUUACCAGGUCUUGACAUCCUUUGACCACUCUAGAGAUAGAGCUUCCCCUUCGGGGGCAAAGUGACAGGUGGUGCAUGGUUGUCGUCAGCUCGUGUCGUGAGAUGUUGGGUUAAGUCCCGCAACGAGCGCAACCCUUAUUGUUAGUUGCCAUCAUUUAGUUGGGCACUCUAGCAAGACUGCCGGUGACAAACCGGAGGAAGGUGGGGAUGACGUCAAAUCAUCAUGCCCCUUAUGACCUGGGCUACACACGUGCUACAAUGGGAAGUACAACGAGUCGCAAAGUCGCGAGGCUAAGCUAAUCUCUUAAAGCUUCUCUCAGUUCGGAUUGUAGGCUGCAACUCGCCUACAUGAAGCCGGAAUCGCUAGUAAUCGCGGAUCAGCACGCCGCGGUGAAUACGUUCCCGGGCCUUGUACACACCGCCCGUCACACCACGAGAGUUUGUAACACCCGAAGUCGGUGAGGUAACCUUUUGGAGCCAGCCGCCUAAGGUGGGAUAGAUGAUUGGGGUGAAGUCGUAACAAGGUAGCCGUAUCGGAAGGUGCGGUUGGAUCACCUCCUU
rnacentral:rRNA from 1 species